UUUGACUUUUGAGUUCAUAAUACUGGUAAACCAUGGCAGUAUUUUAGCAAAAGGUAGUGCAACACUGCAACCUCUAUAAUUAUUAUUUAGGUAUUUUCAGGAUGGAAUUUGAAUCUGUUGGAGCAAGUCUAUCACAGAGAUUUUAUGAACCAUACAUGCAAUUUGUACAUAAUCAUAUAUUUGCCCAUUAUAUUUAUAAACUGACAGUUAAUAAUUAAUCUUUCACAGACUAAUAAAAUCAUCUGGGGCCGGUAGUUCAAAGGCUUACACGGGCUUCGAACAACCGGGCCCAGAUGAUUUUAUUAGUAUAUGUGAAAGAGUAAUGGUAUUAACUGUCAGUUUAUAAAUAUAAUGGGCAAAUUAGAGAGAGUAUAUAAAAUACUAAAGUAGGCUCAUUGCCAAUUGAUGGAUUAGAUUAACAUAAUUAAUAAACUAUAGAUGGUUUUGUUGCAUCUCACUCGAUGGAAAUUUUAAUGUUGGGUUUUGUUGAUGGAUAAAUCGAGUACUUAAUAAUUUGAAUUAAAAUAUG